UACGGAGGGUGCGAGCGUUGUCCGGAAUCACUGGGCGUAAAGGGCGCGUAGGCGGCCUGAUAAGUAGGGGGUGAAAUCCUGCGGCUUAACCGCAGGGCUGCCUUCUAAACUGUCAGGCUGGAGCACAGUAGAGGCAGGUGGAAUUGCCCGGUGUAGCGGUGGAAUGCGUAGAGAUCGGGAAGAACAUCAGUGGCGAAGGCGGCCUGCUGGGCUGUUGCUGACGCUGAGGCGCGACAGCGUGGGGAGCAAACAGG
rnacentral:rRNA from 1 species